rnacentral:rRNA from 1 species
GACGAACGCUGGCGGCGUGCCUAAUACAUGCGAGUAGAACGCUGAAGGAGGAGCUUGCUUCUCCGGAUGAGUUGCGAACGGGUGAGUAACGCGUAGGUAACCUGCCUGGUAGCGGGGGAUAACUAUUGGAAACGAUAGCUAAUACCGCAUAACAGUAGAUGUUGCAUGACAUUUGCUUAAAAGGUGCAAUUGCAUCACUACCAGAUGGACCUGCGUUGUAUUAGCUAGUUGGUGAGGUAACGGCUCACCAAGGCGACGAUACAUAGCCGACCUGAGAGGGUGAUCGGCCACACGGGGACUGAGACACGGCCCAGACUCCUACGAGAGGCAGCAGUAGGGAAUCUUCGGCAAUGGACGGAAGUCUGACCGGGCAACGCCGCGUGAGUGAAGAAGGUUUUCGGAUCGUAAAGCUCUGUUGUAAGAGAAGAACGAGUGUGAGAGUGGAAAGUUCACACUGUGACGGUAUCUUACCAGAAAGGGACGGCUAACUACGUG